rnacentral:rRNA from 1 species
CAGAGGGGGCAAGCGUUGUUCGGAAUUACUGGGCGUAAAGGGCGCGUAGGCGGCCUUCUAAGUCGAACGUGAAAUCCCCGGGCUCAACCCGGGAACUGCGUCCGAGACUGGGAGGCUUGAAUCCGGGAGAGGGAUGUGGAAUUCCAGGUGUAGCGGUGAAAUGCGUAGAUAUCUGGAGGAACAUCGGUGGCGAAGGCGGCAUCCUGGACCGGUAUUGACGCUGAGGCGCGAAAGCCAGGGGAGCAAACGGGAUUAGAUACCCCGGUAGUCCUGGCCCUAAACGAUGAAUGCUUGGUGUGGCGGGUAUCGAUCCCUGCCGUGCCGAAGCUAACGCAUUAAGCAUUCCGCCUGGGGAGUACGGUCGCAAGGCUG